rnacentral:lncRNA from 1 species
UAAGGGGUACUAGGCUAAAAUUCAAAGAGAUAAAAGAGACUUGAAAGAAACUGUGGGAGUUGAAUUUAUAAAAUAUUUCAUUCACUUGAAUAACUCUAUAGCAAUUGUUUUCUCUUAUCCUUCAUUUUUUUUGAAGGAGUAUGUAUUGACAUGUAUUGAAAUAUUAUAAACAUAAUUCCUUUUUUUUCUUCCUCUUAUCCUUCUAUUUUUUCAUUC